rnacentral:rRNA from 1 species
GACGAACGCUGGCGGCGUGCCUAACACAUGCAAGUCGAGCGGAGAUAAGCGGAUGGUAACUGAAGUUUGUCUUAGCGGCGGACGGGUGAGUAACACGUGGGCAACCUGCCUUGGAGUGGGGGAUAACACCGGGAAAUCGGUGCUAAUACCGCAUAACAUACACAUACUGCAUGGUGAGUGUAUCAAAGGAGCAAUCCGCUUUAAGAUGGGCCCGCGGUUGAUUAGCUAGUUGGUAAGGUAACGGCUUACCAAGGCGACGAUCAGUAGCCGACCUGAGAGGGUGACCGGCCACACUGGAACUGAGACACGGUCCAGACUCCUACGGGAGGCAGCAGUGGGGAAUAUUGCGCAAUGGGGGAAACCCUGACGCAGCAACGCCGCGUGGAGGAAGAAGGUCUUCGGAUUGUAAACUCCUGUCUUCUGGGACGAAGUAUGACGGUACCAGAGGAGGAAGCCACGGCUAACUACGUG